UACGAAGGGGGCUAGCGUUGCUCGGAAUUACUGGGCGUAAAGGGCGCGUAGGCGGAUCGUUAAGUCAGAGGUGGAAUCCCAGGGCUCAACCCUGGAACUGCCUUUGAUACUGGCGAUCUUGAGUAUGAGAGAGGUAUGUGGAACUCCGAGUGUAGAGGUGAAAUUCGUAGAUAUUCGGAAGAACACCAGUGGCGAAGGCGACAUACUGGCUCAUUACUGACACUGAGGCGCGAAAGCGUGGGGAGCAAACAGG
rnacentral:rRNA from 1 species